CACCCAUGCUUCUGGCCCUGGCUCUGCCCCCUGUCUCCCCAGCUGUGUUUGGGUUGGGCCCAAGGUGCCAGCCUGCCUCGCCAGCAGCUUGGGGGACAUCUGAGCCCUCCAGGCCUGGCGCCAGGGCCCAAGUCACUGACUGAGGGUGGGGGAAGAGCCUGGGAGCCAGGUGGGGGCCUCUCCCUGCUGUCAGCACUCAUGAUGGAUGAGGGUUAGGGCAGGGAGCCGGGCCAGGGGGCUAGAGGCCUGCCUGCUGCAGGGGCGCUGGGGCUGGCCUCCUGCGGUCUGCAGGAAGAGCCUCUGCCACUCGCAGCUGGGGUGUGGGUCAGGGCUCCCACCCAGCAGGGGUGUUUAAAGGCCCAGAAGGUGCCGAGCCUGCCCACUCCCCUGCACCAUGGGCAUCUGGGCCUUGUCUGCAGCCCUUUUCCUGCUCUGUCUGACUCCCGAGAGCCUGCAAGGCGGGCUGCCCCCGCUCCCUGCUGGCCUGCGGAUAGGCUACGGCCCUCCCAGGGGGCUGGAAGCAGGCUUUGGAGGGAGUGCUAAACCUCAGAAGCCAGGCAUUGGAGCAGGUGUGAACCCUCAGAAGCCAGGAUAUGGAACCAGGCCAGGAGCUGCAGCCUUCCUAGGGGUGGGAGCACAGCCAGGCCCUGUGCCUCAGAAUGGCCAUGGACCAGGGCUCAGCAGUGGGAAUGGGAUGGGAGCUGGUCCCUUUCUGGGAGCUGGAGUCCAGCCAGGAUUUGCCAAUGGAAACAGCCUGGCACCCCAGCCAGGCCCUGCAGCUCCAAAUGGCUAUGGACCAGGCUAUGGAGGGGGUGUGAAUCCUCAGCAGCCAGGCUUUGGAGGGGACAUGAAACCUCAGAAAGCAGGUGAGCCCCACCCUUGCCUGUUUCUGUCUCCCCUAAAACUCAAGCUCCUUCCCCCUUCUUAUCUCUGCCCCACAUGUCCCCCCAGGGCUCCUGCAUGGGAAUGGGCUGGGAGCCCAGCCAGGUUUUGCAGGGGGCAGGAAGCCCCAGAAGCCAGGCCCUGCAGCUCUAAAUGGCUACGGACCAGGCCUUGUGUUUCCCCUCAGCCGUGGACCAGCCAUCGAGGGGGGCAGGAAGCUCCAGAAGCCAGGUUAGCCUUUUCUGUCAACACCUCCCACCCCUGUCCUCCUACAAAUUGUCUGCUGCCCCUUCCCCUCCCAAGCCUCUGUCUCUGCGGGACACAGGACCAGGCUGAACGCUGCAGCUUUUCCCUGAGAAGGGGCCCAAGUGGGUGAGGGGCAGGAGGAUAGCGCUCCACGGCCUCCUUGGUCCUGUCUGUCUCUCCCCAGGCCUGCGGGGGCGGGGGGGGGGGACCUCUGAGGCCGGACAAGGGGGAGGCCCCACCUCCAGCUCCUGCCUCCUGGCUUCCCUUUCCCUCUGCCCCUCACACCCCCACUUUUCUUCCCCAGGAUACAGCAAUGGAAAUGGGCUGGUAGCCCAGUCAGGUGGGGCCACAAGGACCAGGCUUGGGGACCCAGGAGGGAGGGGGGUGUGGCUGGUGGGCAGGAAGCAGGAGCCCCUUGCCUGCCUGUUGUGGGCUGUGGAAGCUGAUCUUUCUCCACUCAGUUUUUUUUUUUUUUUUUUUUUUUUUUUUCUUUUUUGGGUACCGGGGAUCCAACUCACAACCUUGCGCUUGCCAGGCGGGAGUUUACGCCUCUGAGCUAUAUGCUAUCUCCCCUCAGCUGGUGGGUUGGCCC
ensembl:lincRNA